rnacentral:lncRNA from 1 species
AGAAAACACAGCACAGGGCCCGCGCCGGCAGGUAGCUGUGUGAGUAGCGUGGUGGAUCUGCACAGAGAGGCGGAGGAGAGAGCUUCAUAAAGAAAAGAAUGAGGCACUAAAGUUCCAAGAGGCUAAAGAAACUUCCUCAAAGAUAGAAGCCUGUGAUUUGCACUUACUGAGGAUGCGCUCCAUGAGAUCAUUUUUCACCUUGCCAUCAGUGUGUACGGAAGUAAAUGCCGGACAAAGAGAGUUCAAAGACGACGUUGUCUUGUGAGGCUUCCUUCAGUGUCUAGGGAGAGGCAGAAGUCUGGUGGUUCCAAACAGCAGCCUCUAAAUCAGACAGGCCUGAGUUCAAAUCCUGCGUCCAUCACUCAACAACUGCGUGAUCUUGGGC